CAGCUCCACUCGCAGCGUACGGCACCAGCGUCCGUGCUGCGGGCGGUAGGAGGAAGGGCGUGCGCGGACCGGGGAGCGCGCCCAGAGCGACGGGAAGCUGGGCGAGAGCCGGGAGCCCCUGGACCAGUUCCCUCAGGAGGAACACAGCCUGGGGUCUGGGUCACCACGUGCCGUCGCCUCCGCUGCCGCCGCCAGGCAGUUUAUAAUGAAGAUAUUCACCACCUGUCAAGGUUGCUUUGUUUUAUACAGGGAAUAUUUAAAGUCUUUUCCACAAGUUUUUUAAAUAAGGAAGAGAGCAGGCAGGUGCUGUUUUGUGCUGUGGCCGUGUGACUGGCAUAGUCACUGGAUGUGACAGUACUCUACACAUUGGGACCCUUGCACUGCACAAUAGAAUUUGACACUUUUCAACUUGUGUUUCUUAUGGACAGAGCAGCAGUGACAUUAAAACUCUACAUCAGACGCAUUGUCAUGUAGCCCUUUCUUGGGAAGAUGCAGAUGAACAAGGAACUGAGAGUGAUGCAGGGGGAAAUACCGAGAGCUCACUGAAAGAGCAUCCUCAAGAAGAUGAACGGUCCUCAAAAACAUCUCUACCACGGAAUGUGAUCUGCCCACGGUAGAGGAGCUGAUGACCUAUCAGAAUAGAUUCCUUUGGGGUUGGUGGUUUUGAUUUACAAUCUGUCAGUGACAAGAAACUGGCUGAGAAUAAAGAAACUGAAUUUGUUAAUGCUUUACCCCUUAAGAUGAAUCCAAAUUUUAUGUCUCAAGAAACAAAAUGUGAACCAAUUUUUGGACAAAAAUGAAUAACAUAUAGUUUUACAAAAGUCAACAAAUGAAGGUACAGAAAAUAACUGUCCAAGAGUAAAUACUGUGGAAGAACAAAUAGAUAAAAUGUACCUUGAUAUUUUGAAGAAAAAAAUACCUGUUUGUCCUUGAUUAUUACCCCAGGAUGACAAAAUACAUAAGGUAAGUGUCUAUAGUUUAUAUUGAUCAGACAUAGUGAUCAAUGAAGUUACAUAAAUACUGCUGAUAGGUAUGUACUUUGUGAGCCAGUGGGACUGAUUACAGAGUAACCUCCACGUGGAUCCUGGGCAUCUGUGAGCAGUAGCUGUUACAACACCCUGUUGUCCCCAGAUUUAAAAAUGCCACUGUAGCAUUAGCUUUCUUUUAGAAGCCACUCUUUACAUUUUUUAUUUUUUAAGUACACAUAGUCCAGAAUUUGAGUAGCAUAAGAAAAUUAAGUUUAUUCUGGUGCCUUUUAUUCAAUCUUACCAGUAGUCUGUGUUGUGCAAAAGGAGGUGAGUUGGCAUUUCAUAUAAAUGCUGUUAGCGACUGUUGAGAAACUUAUACAUCUCUGUUCCUUGUUUCUGUGUUCUUGAUUUAUUCUGCUUUAUAGACACGUGACCACAGUAUUCCAUUUUUAUUUUAUGGUUUUGAUUUAUGUGUUUACCAUAAACUAACCAUAAAUUAUCUCCAGUUCCUUGUGGAAAAAAGCAGAGUGCUGAUCAGUUUUUACCUUGAGAAAUCUGGAGAAAAAAGAUAAGAUUUUAAGUCAUUUCAAUUAUGUUCUUCCCCACUCUCCUCCAUGAUCAUUCUUGUAAUUACAUGUCUUGCUUUCUGGCAAGCCUAUUUUGUUUUAUUAUUUUGCUAUUUUUGCUCCUGACUUUGAAGAUGUGCUUCAGAAUACUAAAAUUCUGAUGAAUUAGGCUUGGAGAACUUGAAUGUUGUGGCUCACCUUCUACAAACUGUGUUCUUCAGUAAGCAGUAUGAUUUUGCCAUCUGUUAAAUCAUAUUUACAACUGUCACUGAUCUUUAAGUACUGAAGAAUUUGUACUUGUGCACAGACUCUUAGAUCUCAGCUGUGUUCCGGAGAAGCAGGGGCUGGUUGGUACACAGCUACCACACAGGAAGGCCAGACAUGCCCCUCCUUUAUUUAGAGAAAACCCCAGAGUGGAUUAUGUGCAUCAGUUAGGAGCUCAGGCUAAGGCAAACCCAGUUCACCAUUCAAGACAUUUUCUACUCUUGAAAAAAAACUUCAAAGGACACUGCGAAUAGCAAAUACUUGAGAUCCAUCCCUGCCUCAAAUCAAGCCAGGAAAAAAGGUAAUUAUACACACUUUUCAUAAUAAAAUUCUGUACAUAUAUUAUUUCAUUUUCCUUAUUCUCUACUUUCCCUGUUUCCUUGUCUCCUUCUGAGAACUUUCCUUAUUUGUAGAAAAAAAUUAAUCUUAAGGUGCUACAUUCCAUCUCUGAAAGACAGAUUCAGUUCACUUCAGUUCAGGGAGUUUGUCAUCACUAAUUCUAGGUUUUCCUGAAUGAGACCCAGAAAGUAUGGGAGGUGAAUAUAAGAUAGGAGAGCCAAACCCCUCCUCAUCUGGUUGGCUUUGUAAUAUCCAAAAUGUUUGCCAGAAAAGAGCUAUAAUUCAAAAUGCAAAGGGUAACAUACAAAUGAAGGUGGAUACAGAGAGAAAUAUCUGGUUGUGAGUUCAGUCUAGUGUUGGAGAGACCGGAUGUUUUAUCAAUCACCUGCAUGCAUUUAUACAGCACCUCUGUUAGUUAUUUCCUGGUGGAGUCAUCCAUCUUGGCGGGAGGAAAGGGCAGUUUCCCACGUAGGAGCCCAUGCCACUAUUAAUAGGAGUAGGAACUCUCAAGUCAGACCAGCGUCUCUGCUGCCUUUAGACUCCAGCGGGGCUGGGAGAGCAGUAGAGCCAGAAGUAAUUCAUGCUUUCCUUUGUGGUUCAGCCAAAUAGGGAACCGAGCCCAUCGCUGCUGCCUGCUGUGACAGAGGAGAGCUAGCCUCACUGGGAAACUCAUUUCCAGCUUAAAGUGCCUCCCCUGCCUUUCCCUGCAGCGAUCCAUCCCGGGACCACCUGGACUGUAUUAGAAUUCUUUCAGCAGUGAAGUCUCUCCUCUUCUGUCUGUGUGGCUGUGCAUCCCCUGCAGCAGCCUGUGUAUGUCAGAUGUAAGGCUCUUCUCUGUCCGCGUACUGGAGAGCAGCAGGAGGGGUGGCUGUUCUGUACGCACAGGAAUCAGGUUCUGCUGGCUUAAUGCAGCAUCCUUUUCUCCUGUUCUUAACGUGGAGACCUCAGAUCCUUUCCCCUAACAGCUGCCUUGUGUUCUCUUACUUUCUUUUCCUUUUCUGUGGAGCAACUGCUUGUGCUGCUGUCAUCUGUUCAUUGUUGUUAAUAACUAACCCUCCGCUGGAUCUAGUGCUUAAUGUUAAGAAAAACACUCGGAACAUUUCCCAAAUUUUAGAAUCAUCAAGAGGAGUGUGAAAGUUUUUCAUUAAUGUUUUAGGAGUAUUCAUCCUGUCUGUACCUUUGAGAGCAAGAGAAUGAAGUUUUGUUUUUAAUAUUACUUUAUUAUAUUUAUUUUAGAUAAACUAACCCCCAACAUUUUUGAAGUUUACUUUAUCCAAAUCCAUUCAUAUAACAAGUGUUUUUGGGCACCGACCUGGGUCUAGGCACUGUUGGAUGCCCUCCAGGUACAUUGGUAAGCAAGACAGUGCCACCUCCCCUCCCCCAUCUCAUGGAGCUGUCAUCUGAUGAAGAGAGACAGACACUUAACAAUGAGCAUACAAAUGAGUAAAUAAUGUUACAUGUUAAGGGGAAAUAGAAAGCAGAGCAAGCGUGUCAGUGGUGGAGUCCAGCUGGUCACCAUUUGAAAUAAGAUAAGGUUGGCCUCGGUGAGAGAGCCCUUUGAAUGAAGACUUGUAAGAGGAAUUGGGAUUGGCUGUGUGGAUGUGUGGGGGAAGCAUAUUCCAGAAAAGUGAAACAGUCAGUGCAAAAGUCCUGAAGAGGGGGGAAUGCCUGGCAUCUUGGGGAUCAGCAUAGAAGCCCACAUGGCUGGGGCAGAGUGGGCAGAGAGGUGAGGGGGAGGGGAGAUCGGGCAUCACAGGGACAGGCACGGUCAGCUUUUCUAGGGCAUGAAGCAGCCUUGGGCUUUCACUCAGUGUGGAAAGGUGAGCGCCUGGGAAGCUGUGAGCAUGGCAGUGACUUCACCUGAUGCAUCCUUUAGACAGAGUCCUCGGGCUGAUGUCAUUGACUGUAUUCACACAAUACAGACCCACACCAUAGGGGCACAGGAAGAAGCCCGAGACCAGUUAAAAGGGGAUUUGAGGAAUCUGGGCUGGGAGUGAUGGGCUCGAUCCAGGGUGGUGGCAGUGGUGGUAAUGAGGAGCUAUUGGAUGGGGUUGUAUUUAGAAGACAGAGUCAAAAGUCUAAAAGGUUUGUUCGGGGUUGUGAGAGAGGCAUCAUGGAUGAUGGCAGGUUUUGUGGUUUGAGCAGCUGGAAGAAUGUGGUUCCUCUCCAGCUGGGAUGGAGGGUGAGGUAGAGUGGGCUUGGAGGUGGAGAGAGGACCAGGAGUUGAGCUGCUGAGAUGCUAACUUUGAGAUGGAUGUCUGUUCUGUGUGCAAGUGGAGAUGGCAAGGAGGCGGUUAGAUGAGAGAGUCUAGGGCUGAGAGGGAGGUGUGGACUGUAGGUAUCAAGAGUUGUUAAAAAUGAAUAUUUUUGAAGCCAUGGGUUUUUUAAACUGAACUAUAACGGGCUUACAGUAUUGUGUUAGUUUCAGGAGUACAGCAAAGUGAAUCCAUUUUUUUGCAGGUUAUAUUCUGUUAUAGGUUGUUACAAGACAUUGGGUAGAGUUCCCUGUGCUGUGUGGUAAAUCCUUGUCGCUGAACUAUUUUAUGUACAGUAGUUUGUGUCCAUUAAUCUCAUACCCUUGAUUUCUCCUUCCCCCCACCUCCUCUUGUUAACCACAAGUUUCUUUUCUGUCUGUGAGUCUUUCUGCUUUCAUAUAUGUUCAUUUGUGUUAUUUUUGAGAGUCCCCAUGUAAGUGAUACAGUUUUUGUCUUUCUCCAUCUGACUUACUUCAUUACACAUUAUAUUCUCUGAGACUUGACAAAGCUUAUCAAGGGAGCAUAUCUGGAGAGAAGAAGAAAACCAAGGCCUGAGCCCGGGGCGUGCUGACCUAAAGAGGGCAGGAGGGAGAGGGCUAAACUGCAAGGACAGAGCAAGGUUGAGGCAACCUGAGCAUGUGCACUCCUGAAGCCACGUGGGGAGAAUAUAUAGAGGAGAGUAGAUCUGCUGUGUCCGCUGCUGCUGAGAGAGAUGAGGACUGACAGCUGACCUUGGAGUUUAGCAGGAAGGAGGCCAUCGGCACUGGACAAGCAGUUUCUGUGGGCAGGUGGCUGUGAAAGGCAAACUGGGAACAGAAGAAGUGGAAUUGGCUACUUCAAGGUAUACACUUCCUGGAGGAAAGGGUGUAAAAUGUGUGGGGGGGGCAGUAAUUUGCAGGAGGGUGGAGUCAGCAGGAGCCUUUUAUUUUGCCUUGUUUUGAAUUUAAUGAGAGAAAUCAUGGUAUGAAUGAACAAUAGAAUGUUUGCACUUUUUGGAAAGAUGCAGUAGCCGGGAAGAAGUGCAUGAUGAGGGGAGUCGUAGAGCAGAGUCCUCGAGUGGAGGGGCUGUAAUGGGGUCCAGGGCACAGUGGGAAGGUUGGCUUCAGGUAGGAACAUGGGCAGUUCAUCUGUGGAAAAGCAGAAAGGAGGAGGGGAGAGGUGGGUGUGGGUACUGGUAGGGGCAGAAUUGGUGAGGGAUGGGGGUGAUUUCCUCCGGUUGCCUCCACUUCCUCUGAGAAGUAAAACAUGCUGUGAUGAGGCGGCAGUGAGGAUGGGGCCAGGAUGCUGGAGGGGAGCAGGUGUGGGGAGUUCUCCUGGAGGGCUGGGCUCCCAGCAGCAGGAAGUCUGCUCCAAGUUGGUGACCGUGAAUGUGAGCUGGGACCAGACAGGCAGGGGUGUGUAUGUGUGUGUGUUGUGUGUAUCUAUGAGUGCACGGCCACUUUCUCCCACACAACUGCAGGUGUUGGUAGUUGUGUAGUUGGAUUUACCAAGAGGACUGGUUUUGCCAAAUGAGUGCAGCGGACUGAGAGAGGAGCAGGAAGGAGCUGCCUGUGUGUAUAGGAUGUAAGUGGAGUCAUGAAGGAAGAAGAGACAUUGGGGGUGUGGACAGUGUGAGACACACAGGAUCAACAGAGUGUGUCCCAGGGGCCAGAGCGCUGUGGGCAUCCAGGUGCCAGAGGGCACACCUGGUGGUGGGGGAGUAGGACUGCCAGAGAGCAAAUGCCUAAGGCUGAGAUUCGGGCGUGGUUGUGUUACUGGUAACAGAAAAAGAACUGGAAAACCCGUGGGAGAUAGCAGCUGGGGCGGAGAGAUGAGCACAGGGAAGGAGUUGAAGGGCCUCUCGUGAGCAGUUGGAAAUUACUAAGAGUGAAGCCAGAUGUCAGGUCACAGUCAGUGGAAAUGAGGGGGAUGGCAUAGAGGUUGAUAGGUGAAGGCAACAAUAUUUUUAAUGAGCAUUUUCCCUGACUUCAAAAUUUCAUAGAAUUUGCGACUGCCAAAAUAAAUAAAAACACAUCACUAAAAUUCAUAUUUAUGUAAGUACAAUGGCAAACUAAGAUUAUCUGUUUUUGUACUGAUCUAAUUUUUCUCAUUAGAGUGUCUGUUAAGUAGGAUUUUUUUUUUAAAUCGCUGUCUUUUUGUUGGAAAAUUGCCCAGAGUGAUUUUAGUUUUAUUCCAAAGAACUGGAAUUCCUUGGGGGUCGUUGUUACUUGUGACAGGAUGGGUGUCAGAGAAGCAGCCUCUGAGCCGGAGGCGCAUGUACAGAAAGUCUAGAGACUGUACUUGGCAUCAGCACUGGUUCCGAGGGAGCAGCCUCUCAUGACUGGAGCUGACGCCAGUUCGAAGGCUUCACUUUUUCACAUAACCAGGAAGCCUGGGCCAGUUAAUUCAGAGCUGGCACCUGUGCAAGGAACCAGACCCCCUUCUUUCCUGCUGCAAAAUCCCUAGUCUGUGACUUUAGUCUUCCUUGUCACAAGAUGGCUGCACAACCUCCAGCCCUUGCAGGAGGAGGAGAGGUGAAAGGUAAAAGGUCCAUGCCUGUUAACUCAGCAGCAUAAUCAGAAAAGUAGUCGCUGUCCUGGAUGCCUUGUGUUGGAAAUUUUUGCUUUCAUCUUACUAGUCAGAACUUUGAUCCUGUGCCCCUGCCCCACCGCAUGUGCAUUGGUCCAGGGAGAGAGGUGUUUUUAACUGGCACAUUGCUGCCCGGUGCAAAAUUUUAGUGGGGAGGAAGAGGAGGUUGGCAGCUAGCAGUGUCUGCUGUGUGGUGAUUUUACUUUCUAUUCUAAAUUAAUUUUCUUUGACUUGUCGACUCGUGUAUCUAUUUUUAGAUUAGUAUGUUUAUUGUCACAAAAGAAAUAGUUGCUCAUUAGUUAAACUCAAAAAUACAGAAAAGUAAAAAGGAAGCAAUAAUUUAGCCAGAAACAGCUGGUGUCAUAGUGGGUGAGCCUCAUUCCAUGCCUCUUGUGUGUGUGUCCUUCUGCAGAUGGAAGGAAGCGGGAUGACAGCUGGAAGGAAGGAGAAAGGCAGGCACGUGGACAAAUAAAAAUGGAUGAAGCAUUGUAUAAGAACAGAUCACACUUUGUCAGUUCUUUUAAAUAAAACAUUAGGUUUCAUUUUACUUAAAUCUGUAAGAAGAAAAAGAAACUUCAUCCUGAGAAAUGUUACACCCGCAAAAGGUCCCUUCAAGAACAUAGAUUAUGAAAACCCCUGAAAGACUGCCAAAGCCGUAUUAUUUUAAGCUGCAUUUUCUAAUUUUAUACACUAUCAAUUUUCCCUUCUACUAAAUAUGUAGUAAACCUCUUAUAUCCCCUACUUG